CACUACCCAUACAAUGGGUAAAGAGACAUAUAGUUUAGGCAUUGUUCCUCAAGUCUACCUUGCAGCAUGAAGAAGGAAGAACAUAAGUAAAGAAGAUUCAAGCUGAGCAGUCACAGACAUCCAAUCAUACAGUUGUGGGCAGGUUAAGAAGAAGAAAAGAACAGAAAUAUCACCAACAAAAUCAGAGUCAGGACUGUUCGGGGUUCCUGCUGUGGAUGAGCAAGCAAUGCCUGAAGAAAAAAAC